UACGAAGGGGGCUAGCGUUGUUCGGAAUUACUGGGCGUAAAGCGCGCGCAGGCGGUUCUUCAAGUCAGCGGUGAAAGCCCAGAGCUCAACUCUGGAAUGGCCUUUGAGACUAGAGAACUAGGGUACGGGAGAGGUGAGUGGAAUUCCGAGUGUAGAGGUGAAAUUCGUAGAUAUUCGGAAGAACACCAGUGGCGAAGGCGGCUCACUGGCCCGUUACCGACGCUCAGGCGCGACAGCGUGGGGAGCAAACAGG
rnacentral:rRNA from 1 species